AUGGCCAAGAAGCGCGGCGAGAAGAGGCCACCGCCGCCGCCGCCGCCGGCGGCUGCCUCCUCUGACGAGACGCACUCGGGCGCAGACGAGUCCGAGGACGAAGAGACCAUCGCCUUGUCUCGUGCCCCUGCCCGCAAGAACCCGCCUCCGCCGCCGCAGAAGAACGAGGAGUCCGAGACCUCUGAAGAGGAGGAGGAGGAGCCAUCCCACGCGGCCCCGAACACUGCCCCCAAGAAGCAGCCUCCGCCGGCGCGACAGAGUGAGGACUCCGACAGUUCCGACGAGGAGGAGGAUGGGGGUUCCGAAUCUGACAAAGAUGAGCCGCCGCCGAAGCCAUCUCCGAAGCAGGAGGCGAAGGCCCCGGAGGCCAAGAAGCCGCGCCUUGCUUUCCACCGCGUCUGGUCCACCAACGACGAGGUCCGUAUCCUCGAGGCCCUCGCCGCUCACCAAAAAGAGCACGGCGUGCUGCCGCAGCCCGACGCACUGGUCGAAGCCCUCGCCGGAAAGCUCGACAACCGUGCCUACAGCAGCAAGGAGCUCCAGGGGAAGGUCAAAAGCCUCAAGCAUCGGUAUGUGUCAGCCGCCAAGAAGUACGAGCUCCCGACCAAAGAACACGACCGCCGGCUCUUCGACCUGUCCAAGAUCCUCUGGAGCGGCCACAAGUACAGGUCCCGCGCUGCCACCGCUUCUACUGCUGCUCCCACCGCCAAGGCGAACGACCACGAGCCCAAGGGAUUUGAGGAGAUGUGUGAGUUGUACCCAUACCUCGCGGAGGAGGUGAAGAAGAUGGAGGCCUCGGGCAUGUUCAAGCGGGAGUUCGGAAAGAUGGACGACAACAAGGCACGCUUGCUGGACGAGAAGAUCAAGAAGCAGAGGGUACAACAGAUGAAGGUGGAGCUGCGCCGCAGCGACCUUGCCAGGGAGGUGACCAAGGCGAUAAUGGACCUGAUCGACUGA
rnacentral:rRNA from 1 species